GAAAGAUGGGUGAGAAUCCCAUCCACCGAUUGACUAAGGUUUCCAGAGGAAGGCUCGUCCGCUCUGGGUUAGUCGGGACCUAAGCCGAGGCCGAUAGGCGUAGGCGAUGGAUAACAGGUAGAUAUUCCUGUACCACCUAUGAUUGUUUGAACGAUGGGGGGACGCAGUAGGAUAGGCGAAGCGUGCUGUUGGAGUGCACGUCCAAGCAAUAAGACUGAGUGUUAGGCAAAUCCGGCACUCGUAAGGUUGAGUUGUGAUGGGGAGUUGGAUCAUGUAUCCGACGAGUCGUUGAUUUCACACUGCCAAGAAAAGCCUCUAGUUAGAAAAUAGGUGCCCGUACCGCAAACCGACACAGGUAGUCAAGAUGAGAAUUCUAAGGUGAGCGAGCGAACUCUCGUUAAGGAACUCGGCAAAAUGACCCCGUAACUUCGGGAGAAGGGGUGCUCUUUAGGGUUAACGCCCAGGAGAGCCGCAGUGAAUAGGCCCAAGCGACUGUUUAUCAAAAACACAGGUCUCUGCUAAACCGUAAGGUGAUGUAUAGGGGCUGACGCCUGCCCGGUGCUGGAAGGUUAAGAGGAGUGGUUAGCUUCUGCGAAGCUACGAAUCGAAGCCCCAGUAAACGGCGGCCGUAACUAUAACGGUCCUAAGGUAGCGAAAUUCCUUGUCGGGUAAGUUCCGACCCGCACGAAAGGCGUAACGAUUUGGGCACUGUCUCAACGAGAGACUCGGUGAAAUCAUAGUACCUGUGAAGAUGCAGGUUACCCGCGACAGGACGGAAAGACCCCGUGGAGCUUUACUGUAGCCUGAUAUUGAAAUUCGGCACAGCUUGUACAGGAUAGGUAGGAGCCUUAGAAGCGUGAGCGCCAGCUUACGUGGAGGCGCUGGUGGGAUACUACCCUAGCUGUGUUGGAUUUCUAACCCGCGCCAUUGAUCAUGGCGGGAGACAGUGUCAGGCGGGCAGUUUGACUGGGGCGGUCGCCUCCUAAAGUGUAACGGAGGCGCUCAAAGGUUCCCUCAGAAUGGUUGGAAAUCAUUCAUAGAGUGUAAAGGCAUAAGGGAGCUUGACUGCGAGACCUACAAGUCGAGCAGGGUCGAAAGACGGACUUAGUGAUCCGGUGGUUCCGCAUGGAAGGGCCAUCGCUCAACGGAUAAAAGCUACCCCGGGGAUAACAGGCUUAUCUCCCCCAAGAGUUCACAUCGACGGGGAGGUUUGGCACCUCGAUGUCGGCUCAUCGCAUCCUGGGGCUGUAGUCGGUCCCAAGGGUUGGGCUGUUCGCCCAUUAAAGCGGUACGCGAGCUGGGUUCAGAACGUCGUGAGACAGUUCGGUCCCUAUCCGUCGUGGGCGUAGGAAAUUUGAGAGGAGCUGUCCUUAGUACGAGAGGACCGGGAUGGACAUACCUCUGGUGUACCAGUUGUCGUGCCAACGGCAUCGCUGGGUAGCUAUGUAUGGACGGGAUAAGUGCUGAAAGCAUCUAAGCAUGAAGCCCCCCUCAAGAUGAGAUUUCCCA
rnacentral:rRNA from 1 species